UACGUGAGGGAGCAAGCGUUGUCCGGAAUCAUUGGGCGUAAAGCGCGUGUAGGCGGCUUGAUAAGUCUGCUCUGAAAGCCCGGGGCUCAACCCUGGGAGGCGGGUGGAUACUGUCGAGCUCGAGUCCGGAAGAGGCGAGUGGAAUUCCUGGUGUAGCGGUGAAAUGCGCAGAUAUCAGGAGGAACACCAUGGCGAAGGCAGCUCGCUGGGACGGUACUGACGCUGAGACGCGAAAGCUAGGGGAGCAAACGGG
rnacentral:rRNA from 1 species